GCCAGGCGUGGUGGUGCAUGCCUGUAAUCCCAGCAACUCAGGAGGCAGAGGCAGGAGGAUCAUGGGGUUCAAAGCCAGCCUCAGCAAAAUCAAGGUGCUAAGCAACUCAGUGAGGGCCUGUCUCUA
rnacentral:sRNA from 1 species